UAUGGCCAGAUCAUAUUGAAACACCAGUUCUCAUACGAUCACCGAAGUUAAGCAACGUCGUACUUGGUCAGUACCUUGAUUGGUGACCGCUUGGAAAUACCACGUGCUGUAA